UCCCGAUGUUUAAAGAUUUAUCGGCUGCGGAUGGCCAUGCGGCGCAUAGCUAGUCGGCGGGGUAACGGCCCACCGAGGCGACGAUGCGUAGGGGUUCUGAGAGGGAGGUCCCCCACACUGGUACUGAGACACGGACCAGACUCCUACGGGAGGCAGCAG
rnacentral:rRNA from 1 species